rnacentral:rRNA from 1 species
GACGAACGCUGGCGGCGUGCUUAACACAUGCAAGUCGAACGGAAAGGCCCUGCUUUUGUGGGGUGCUCGAGUGGCGAACGGGUGAGUAACACGUGAGUAACCUGCCCUUGACUUUGGGAUAACUUCAGGAAACUGGGGCUCAUACCGGAUAGGAGCUCCUGCUGCAUGGUGUGGGUUGGAAAGUUUCGGCGGUUGGGGAUGGUCUGGCGGCUUAUCAGCUUGUUUGUGGGGUAGUGGCUUACCAAGGUUUUGACGGGUAGCCGGCCUGAGAGGGUGACCGGCCACAAUGGGACUGAGAUACGGACCAGACUCCUACGGGAGGCAGAAGUGGGGAAUAUUGCACAAUGGGCGGAAGCCUGAUGCAGCAACGCCGCGUGCGGGAUGACGGCCUUCGGGGUGUAAACCGCUUUCGCCGGUGACGAAGCGUGAGUGACGGUAAUGGGUAAAGAAGCACCGGCUAACUACGUG